rnacentral:misc_RNA from 1 species
AACACUGUUAACCUGCGGUACCUGCGGAAGGAUCAUUACAGAGUUGCAAAACUCCCUAAACCAUUGUGAACGUUACCUAAACCGUUGCUUCGGCGGGCGGCCCGGGUCCUUCCCGGCGCCCCUCGGCCCUCGCGGGCGCCCGCCGGAGGUAAACCAAACUAUUGCAUUGUAUGGCCUCUCUGAGUCUUCUGUACUGAAUAAGUCAAAACUUUCAGCAACGGAUCUCAGAUCGGAAGAGCA